rnacentral:RNase_P_RNA from 1 species
GAAGUCGGCCGGACAGUCGCUGCACCUCGUGUGUGGAGGAAAGUCCGGGCUCCGCAGGGCAGGGUGCCAGGUAACGCCUGGGCGGCGAGAGCCGAUGGAAAGUGCCGCAGAAAAUUACCGCCGAUGGCCCUCCACGGGAGGCGCACAGGUAAGGGUGAAAAGGUGCGGUAAGAGCGCACCGCGCGGGUGGUAACACGCCGCGGCAAAGGUAAACCCCACCCGGAGCAAGACCAAAUAGGGGAACAGGCGAUUUCGAUCGCCGCGUGUGGCCCGCACGGUUCCCGGGUAGGUCGCUUGAGGCGCACGGUGACGUGUCGCCCAGAUGAAUGACUGUCCCCGACAGAACCCGGCUUACAGGCCGGCUUCCUCC